rnacentral:piRNA from 1 species
CCUUGUCUUCUAUGUUCAGUCGCAGAC